rnacentral:rRNA from 1 species
AUUGAACGCUGGCGGCAUGCCUUACACAUGCAAGUCGAACGGCAGCACGGGAGCAAUCCUGGUGGCGAGUGGCGAACGGGUGAGUAAUAUAUCGGAACGUGCCCAGUAGUGGGGGAUAGCCCGGCGAAAGCCGGAUUAAUACCGCAUGAGACCUGAGGGUGAAAGCGGGGGAUCGCAAGACCUCGCGCUAUUGGAGCGGCCGAUAUCAGAUUAGCUGGUUGGUGGGGUAAAGGCCCACCAAGGCAACGAUCUGUAGUUGGUCUGAGAGGACGAACGGGCGCAAGGGGAGCGAGAGACGGCCCAGACUCCUACGGGGAGCAGGAGUGGGGAAUUUUGGACAAUGGGCGCAAGCCUGAUCCAGCAAUGCCGCGUGCAGGAAGAAGGCCUUCGGGUUGUAAACUGCUUUUGUCAGGGAAGAAAUCCUCUGGGCUAAUACCUCGGGGGGAUGACGGUACCUGAAGAAUAAGCACCGGCUAACUACGUGCCAGCCGCCGCGGUAACAC